GACGAACGCUGGCGGAGGGCGGAACACAUGCAAGUCGAACGGAAAGGCCCUGCUUUUGUGGGGUGCUCGAGUGGCGAACGGGUGAGUAACACGUGAGUAACCUGCCCUUGACUUUGGGAUAACUUCAGGAAACUGGGGCUAAUACCGGAUAGGAGCUCCUGCUGCAUGGUGGGGGUUGGAAAGUUUCGGCGGUUGGGGAUGGACUCGCGGCUUAUCAGCUUGUUGGUGGGGUAGUGGCUUACCAAGGCUUUGACGGGUAGCCGGCCUGAGAGGGUGACCGGCCACAUUGGGACUGAGAUACGGCCCAGACUCCUACGGGAGGCAGCAGUGGGGAAUAUUGCACAAUGGGCGGAAGCCUGAUGCAGCAACGCCGCGUGCGGGAUGACGGCCUUCGGGUUGUAAACCGCUUUCGCCUGUGACGAAGCGUGAGUGACGGUAAUGGGUAAAGAAGCACCGGCUAACUACGUG
rnacentral:rRNA from 1 species